CCAUCAUUUCCACACAUGGCCCAGCUCUGACUGACAGGAUACAUGCCAUUGCCGACAGGAGGCCAGCAGUGUCAGCUUAAGGCCACAUUCGAGCCAAGAUCACUUGCUAUGUGGGACUGAAACAACAACCCGUUUCAGUGCUGACACCUUGUGGACAAACUAAAUUAGUGCAAGAAGUGAUUGAGAAGUGCAGGUGAGAGCCAAAAAGGAUGAUAAGAAAUGAAUUUCUUUUCGACUGUAGAAAGAAAGACAUAAACAUCUUGGAUGACAUGGGCUUCACAUCAUGGUGGCGCAUGGGAGCGCAUCAUCAGAAUGGUCAGAAGGGUGUUGUCCUCCUUUCUGAAUCAACAAACAUUAGAUGAUGAAGGAUUACACACUGUUCUGUGUGAAGCUGAGGCAAUUCUCAAACCAAAUGUCUGAGGAUUCAAAAUGAUCUUGAAGCACUUUCUUACAAUGAAGAGAAAACCAAUCUCCUCCUGGUAUAUUUGAGAAAUCAGAUCAGUAUGUAAGAAGAAGGUGGAAACAAGCUCAAUACCUUGUAGAUCUUUUUUUUUUUUUUUUUUUGAAAAGAUGGAUAAAAGAGUACUUUCUUACAGGAAAAGAAAAAACGGACUAAAGAUAGACGUAAUCUUAUGCCUGGUGAUACUGUACUCAUUGCAGAUUCUACAGCCCCACACAAUUCUUGGACUCUUGGAAGAGUACUAGAGAGUGAGCUGAUGAACUAGAGGUGCGCAAU